UGGGGGUUAGUGUAAACUCAACGCACAUGUGAAUUUGGGUUACAAGGAGGAAAUAAUAAUAUCCGCUCUCA
rnacentral:tRNA from 1 species